UUAGGAAUCUUCCCCAAUGGGCGCAAGCCUGAGGGAGCGACACUGCGUGAAGGACGAAGGUUUUCGGAUCGUAAACCUCUGAACCAGGGACGAAUAAUGACGGUACCUGGGUAAUAGCACCGGCUAACUCCGUGCCAGCAGCCGCGGUAAUACGGAGGGUGCGAGCGUUAUCCGGAAUCACUGGGCGUAAAGGGCACGUAGGCGGUCUUGUAAGUCCGAUGUUAAAGAGUGGGGCUCAACCCCAUCACGGCGUUGGAUACUGCAAGGCUUGACGACUGGAGAGGAAAGUAGAAUUACCAGUGUAGCGGUGAAAUGCGUAGAUACUGGUAGGAAUACCCAUUGCGAAGGCAGCUUUCUGGACAGUUUGUGACGCUGAGGUGCGAAAGUGUGGGGAGCAAACCGGAUUAGAUACCCGCGUAGUCC
rnacentral:rRNA from 1 species